GAUGAUGCAACAUGCGGCAUGUAUGGGACAGGUGAGUAGACACUAUUCCAUUCCUUAGUAACAUGCCAUCAUGCUAGGUUGUUUUGGGCAGAAGCUCAUAGAUUCUUUGGAGUGAAACUUCCAAGGUUGCAUCCACUCACAUGGGCGAAGGACCUCCUCGAUACAGAUUUUGUAAGUAAAGAUGAGGCGUAUGUCAUUGUUUCUGUUAUGUGCGCAGUAUGGAGUAACAGAAAUAAGUAUAGGCACGCCAAGAUUCAAUAUCAGCCUAUUCGGUCGAUGGAAAUUAUCCAGGAACACACCAGAGCUUUGGAAAUUCCGACCAAGAAGCAGCAGUCUCAGGUACAUAAAACUGGGUGGACUAAACCACUAGUCGGAACUAUAAAAAUCAACUCCGAUGUAGCUUUGGAUCUGAAGGGAGAAAGAGCAGGGACGGUUGUGAUUGCUAGGGAUCAUGAAGGGAACUUCCUUUCAGGAAGAUUCUCAACAUACACUGGGCACAAUGAUCCAUAUGUAUGCGAGGCUCUAGGUUGCAGAGAUGCCAUGUUGUUGGCAAAGGAAAAAGGGUGGGAACGGAUUCAGUUGGUUACUGAUUGCAAAAAUGUGGCAGAUGACUGGAAUGCCAGACGAGACCGCUCGAGUUGUGGCCCUGUCUUUCGAGAGAUGGGUUCGUAUCUCUCAUCUUUCCAGGGAUUUGAAGUAAGACAUUCUGGAAGAGAAGCAAACGAAACGGCACACAUUUUAGCUAAGCAUUGUUUGUCUACUGGGGUGCUCAGUGUAACUUAUGAUGUAAUCCCUGAUCUCCUAAGUGCGGCGGUGCACUUGGACUAUGUACGGUCUAUGAAUGAAUAA
rnacentral:rRNA from 1 species